CAGAGAGAGAGAGCGAGUGAGAGAGCGACGGGGAAACCAGAGAGCCGAGCGAAAGAAGGUUAGCCAGCCAGCGGCGAGUGAAGAAAAUGGCGAUCACGCAGGAUGAAUGCCUCCCCUCGUAGAUGCUGCAAACGCGUUGAAUUUCUUUAGCCUUACAGUCGGCUUUCCUUUCCACUCUGUUGCACUUUAUACUUCAAUGAGAUUCGGAAUUGGAAGCUGUUGCCACCAAAGAAACUGAAGCAUCUUAACAGACUCAUUAAAGGAAACUGAAAGCACGUGGUCAGUGUGCUGAAGUAAGGAAGAGGUGCAAUUUAUGACACAUUAGGGUAUUUUCUCAGCAGUUGUUGUGGAAGACUGAUCUAACUGAAGAAUGCUGCAGUUUUAAAGUCAGAAAUAAGAUGUUUGUUUGUUUUUCUUUUUUUGUUAAAUCCUCACUUGGCUCGUGUGUUUCAAAUAAAAUGAACAACAUUUAGGAAAUGUUUCUGUGGUAAUGUGUCAGUCUUUGAAUGCAGUCUGUGUUGUCUUUGC
ensembl:lncRNA